AGAGUUAAAUAGUACGUGAAAUUGUUAAAAGGGAAACGAUUGAAACCAGUGUUUCUGUUAGGAAAUCAGCUUGCAGUUGGUCAAGGUUAACGGUGGAAGUGUGUAAAAGCCUUUGCUGUUAGUUGAGAUUAUUUGCUAGUGCACUUUACUAACGGAAGGUCAACAUCAGUUUCGAGCGGUGGAUAAGACUUGUGAGAAGGUGGCUUACUCUUCGGGGUAAGUGUUAUAGCUUACAGGGGAUACAUUGCUUGGGACUGAGGACAGCAGUAUGACCCGCAAGGGAUAGCGCCUCUAAGUUAGUUGGAUCCUACCGGAACAAACAGCUUGCUGAUUGUUUUGUUAGUGGUCUUGCAUGCACUUGGGUUGGGUGACUUCACAUACUAAGGAUGUUGACAAAAUGGUUUUAAACGACC
rnacentral:rRNA from 1 species